rnacentral:rRNA from 1 species
GCGUGCCUAAUACAUGCAAGUCGAGCGAACAGACGAGGAGCUUGCUCNCUCUGACGUUAGCGGCGGACGGGUGAGUAACACGUGGAUAACCUACCUAUAAGACUGGGAUAACUUCGGGAAACCGGAGCUAAUACCGGAUAAUAUAUUGAACCGCAUGGUUCAAUAGUGAAAGACGGUUUUGCUGUCACUUAUAGAUGGAUCCGCGCCGCAUUAGCUAGUUGGUAAGGUAACGGCUUACCAAGGCGACGAUGCGUAGCCGACCUGAGAGGGUGAUCGGCCACACUGGAACUGAGACACGGUCCAGACUCCUACGGGAGGCAGCAGUAGGGAAUCUUCCGCAAUGGGCGAAAGCCUGACGGAGCAACGCCGCGUGAGUGAUGAAGGUCUUCGGAUCGUAAAACUCUGUUAUUAGGGAAGAACAAAUGUGUAAGUAACUAUGCACGUCUUGACGGUACCUAAUCAGAAAGCCACGGCUAACUACGUGCCAGCAGCCGCGGUAAUACGUAGGUGGCAAGCGUUAUCCGGAAUUAUUGGGCGUAAAGCGCGCGUAGGCGGUUUUUUAAGUCUGAUGUGAAAGCCCACGGCUCGACCGUGGAGGGUCAUUGGAAACUGGAAAACUUGAGUGCAGAAGAGGAAAGUGGAAUUCCAUGUGUAGCGGUGAAAUGCGCAGAGAUAUGGAGGAACACCAGUGGCGAAGGCGACUUUCUGGUCUGUAACUGACGCUGAUGUGCGAAAG